rnacentral:rRNA from 1 species
UACGUAGGGGGCUAGCGUUGUCCGGAAUCAUUGGGCGUAAAGCGUGCGUAGGCGGUUCCUCAAGUCCGUUGUGAAAGCCCCGGGCUCAACCUGGGAAUGGCAGUGGAAACUAGGGGACUGGAAUCUGGCAGAGGGGGGUGGAAUGCCGCGUGUAGCAGUGAAAUGCGUAGAGAUGCGGCGGAACACCGAUGGCGAAGGCAGCCCCCUGGGCUGAGAUUGACGCUCAGGCACGAAAGCGUGGGGAGCAAACAGG